ACGGAGGAUCCAAGCGUUAUCCGGAUUUAUUGGGUUUAAAGGGUGCGCAGGCGGACUUAUAAGUCAGUGGUGAAAGCCCGCAGCUUAACUGCGGAACUGCCAUUGAUACUGUAGGUCUUGAGUACAGUUGGAGUAGGCGGAAUGUGACGUGUAGCGGUGAAAUGCUUAGAGAUGUCACAGAACACCAAUCGCGAAGGCAGCUUACUAAACUGUAACUGACGCUCAGGCACGAAAGCGUGGGGAUCAAACAG
rnacentral:rRNA from 1 species